ACCCCUCGUGCUUACCGAAAGGUAGGCUUUUAUUAUGUGUAAUGAGCAUAACGAAUAAGUGGUGGGCAAGACUGGUGCCAGCAGCCGCGGUAAUACCAGCGCCACAAGUGGAGAUCACUUUUAUUGGGUCUAAAGUGUCCGUAGCUGGUUUGAUAAGUCUCUUGUGAAAUUUCUUUGGCUUAACCUAGAAACUGCAAGAGAAACUGUUUAACUUGAGACCGGGAGAGGUGUGAAGUAUUGUUUGGGUAGCGGUAAAAUGUUAUAAUCCUUACAGGACUAACUAAUGCGAAGGCAUCACACUAGAACGGAUCUGACAGUGAGGGACGAGAGCUAGGGUAGCGAACCGGAUUAGAUACCCGGGUAGUCCUAGCCGUAAACGCUGCGGGUUACGCUUUGCUAAAUCUAUGAGAUUUAGCAAGGGGGAAGCGAAGGCAUUAAACCCGCCACCUGGGAAGUACAGCCGCAAGGCCGAAACUUAAAGGAAUUGGCGGGGGAGCAC
rnacentral:rRNA from 1 species